rnacentral:lncRNA from 1 species
UUAUAUUAUAUGGUUGAUGUUCUGCUUCUGCUGCUUAAUAUGUCUGAUGCUAUACUGAAUUCAUUUGACAUCCUUUGGGAAAAUUACUAUAACAUAUAAUUUUAAAGUUAAUUAAAAUAUUUUUUUAUUUGGUUCUUUUGUGAGGAAUUUUAUAGUCAAUUAGUUAAAAGAGAGUACAAUUUCAAAUUUUAAAACUAUGCUUCUCCUUCAAAAUCUUCACUUGUUUAUCCUCAUUUAAUAAAACCACCAAUCCAAAACUAGCUGAACUCUCCCACCUCCACCUUGUUCUCCUAUCUCUGGAUUCNNN